rnacentral:rRNA from 1 species
UACCUACGGGAGGCAGCAGUGGGGAAUAUUGCACAAUGGGGGAAACCCUGAUGCAGCGACGCCGCGUGAGUGAAGAAGUAUCUCGGUACGUAAAGCUCUAUCAGCAGGGAAGAAAAAAAGUCUUUGGCUUUGGACGGUACCUGACUAAGAAGCCCCGGCUAACUACGUGCCAGCAGCCGCGGUAAUACGUAGGGGGCAAGCGUUAUCCGGAUUUACUGGGUGUAAAGGGAGCGUAGGUGGCAAGGCAAGUCAGAUGUGAAAACCCGGGGCCCAACCCCGGGAGUGCAUUUGAAACUGUCUGGCUA